rnacentral:tRNA from 1 species
GCAGUAUUUAGUUUAAUUAAAAUGUAAUAUUUGGGUUAUUAAGAUUAGUUACUGAUU